UACGUAGGAGGCGAGCGUUGUCCGGAGUUACUGGGCGUAAAGGGCGCGCAGGCGGCCAUUCAAGUCAGGCGUGAAAGCCCCGGGCUUAACCUGGGAGGUGCGUCUGGGACUGGGUGGCUGGAGAUCGGGAGAGGAGAGUGGAAUUCCCAGUGUAGAGGUGAAAUGCGCAGAUAUCAGGAGGAACACCGGUGGCGAAGGCGGCUUGCUGGGCCAGUUCUGACGCUGAGGAGCGAAAGCGUGGGGAGCGAACAGG
rnacentral:rRNA from 1 species